UGCAAGUCGAACGCUUCUUUUUCCACCGGAGCUUGCUCCACCGGAAAAAGAGGAGUGGCGAACGGGUGAGUAACACGUGGGUAACCUGCCCAUCAGAAGGGGAUAACACUUGGAAACAGGUGCUAAUACCGUAUAACAAUCGAAACCGCAUGGUUUUGAUUUGAAAGGCGCUUUCGGGUGUCGCUGAUGGAUGGACCCGCGGUGCAUUAGCUAGUUGGUGAGGUAACGGCUCACCAAGGCGACGAUGCAUAGCCGACCUGAGAGGGUGAUCGGCCACAUUGGGACUGAGACACGGCCCAAACUCCUACGGGAGGCAGCAGUAGGGAAUCUUCGGCAAUGGACGAAAGUCUGACCGAGCAACGCCGCGUGAGUGAAGAAGGUUUUCGGAUCGUAAAACUCUGUUGUUAGAGAAGAACAAGGAUGAGAGUAACUGUUCAUCCCUUGACGGUAUCUAACCAGAAAGCCACGGCUAACUACGUGCCAGCAGCGGGUAAUA
rnacentral:rRNA from 1 species